AACGGGAACCGGCGCCCGGAAUGUCAGCGUGUGAAGUAGGCGCUGGCAACGCGGGGUUACCCGCUGUUAUUGAGGAGUAACGGCCCAGCGGACCACCCAGGCUUGAGGCAGCGGCGGGAACCACUCGGUUUGCUGCGAUACCAUGGAAGGAGGCGGGGGAAGCGGCGACAAAACCACAGGGGUAUUGGCCGGCUUUUUCGGAGCCGGCGAAGCAGGUUACUCGCACGCGGAUUUGGCUGGCGUCCCGCUAACUGGUAUGAACCCUCUGUGUCCUUAUUUAAAUGUGGAUCCACGAUACCUCGUGCAGGAUACAGAUGAGUUCAUUUUACCUACCGGAGCUAAUAAAACCUGGGGCAGAUUUGAGCUGGCCUUCUUUACGAUUGGAGGGUGUUGCAUGACAGGGGCUGCGUUUGGGGCAAUGAAUGGUCUUCGGCUAGGAUUGAAGGAAACCCAGAACAUGGCCUGGUCCAAACCAGGAAAUGUACAGAUUUUGAAUAUGGUGACUAGGCAAGGGGCACUUUGGGCUAAUACUCUAGGUUCUCUGGCGUUGCUCUAUAGUGCAUUUGGUGUCAUCAUUGAGAAAACACGAGGUGCAGAAGAUGACCUUAACACAGUAGCAGCUGGAACCAUGACAGGCAUGUUGUAUAAAUGUACAGUGUCAGAGAUGGCUUUGGAUUCCCCGUUCUGUGUGCUGCUGUCUGGCUCCUGAACCCAGCUGUAGAGGUGUGUGUCAAUCCCAACUGGUGAAGUACUGAGAAGAAGCUACACAAAAGGCAGCAAAGUAUUACUUUGGAGUUUAACCUUUCUGCCAAUCCAGAGUCAAGCACAAUAUUCCAGAGGAACUCUCAAACAGAAGCUUUGGAGUUUAACCCUUCUGCCAAUCCAGAGGCAAGCACAAUAUUCCAGAGGAACUCUCAAACAGAUGUUGUAGAAAUAAGAAGAAGCAACUGUACAAACCAUGUAUCUGCUGUGCGUUUCAGUCAACAAUACAGCUUGUGUUCGACAAUAUUCCUUGAUGACAGCACAGCCAUCCAGCAUUAUCUUACAAUGACAAUAAUAUCUGUGACCUUGGAGAUACCUCAUCAUAUCACACAAAGAGAUGCAGAUAGAACUUUGAGCAUACCUGAUGAACAGUUACACUCAUUUGCGGUUUCCACCGUGCACAUUAUGAAGAAAAGAAAUGGAGGUGGGAGUUUAAAUAACUAUUCCUCCUCCAUUCCAUCGACUCCCAGCACCAGCCAGGAGGACCCUCAGUUCAGUGUUCCUCCCACUGCCAACACACCCACGCCCGUUUGCAAGCGGUCCAUGCGCUGGUCCAACCUGUUUACAUCUGAGAAAGGGAGUGACCCAGACAAAGAGAGGAAAGCCCCGGAGAAUCAUGCUGACACCAUCGGGAGCGGUAGAGCCAUCCCCAUUAAACAGGGCAUGCUCUUAAAGCGAAGUGGGAAAUGGCUGAAGACAUGGAAAAAGAAAUACGUCACCCUGUGUUCCAAUGGCAUGCUCACCUAUUAUUCAAGCUUAGGUGAUUAUAUGAAGAAUAUUCAUAAAAAAGAGAUUGACCUUCAGACAUCUACCAUCAAAGUCCCAGGAAAGUGGCCAUCCCUAGCCACAUCGGCCUGCACACCCAUCUCCAGCUCUAAAAGCAAUGGCCUAUCCAAGGACAUGGACACCGGGCUGGGUGACUCCAUAUGCUUCAGCCCCAGUAUCUCCAGCACCACCAGCCCCAAGCUCAACCCGCCCCCCUCUCCUCAUGCUAAUAAAAAGAAACACCUAAAGAAGAAAAGCACCAACAACUUUAUGAUUGUGUCUGCCACUGGCCAAACGUGGCACUUUGAAGCCACGACGUAUGAGGAGCGGGAUGCCUGGGUCCAAGCCAUCCAGAGCCAGAUCCUGGCCAGCCUGCAGUCAUGCGAGAGCAGUAAAAGCAAGUCCCAGCUGACCAGCCAGAGCGAGGCCAUGGCCCUGCAGUCGAUCCAAAACAUGCGUGGGAACGCCCACUGUGUGGACUGUGAGACCCAGAAUCCUAAGUGGGCCAGUUUGAACUUGGGAGUCCUCAUGUGUAUUGAAUGCUCAGGUAUCCACCGCAGUCUUGGCCCCCACCUUUCCCGUGUGCGAUCUCUGGAGCUGGAUGACUGGCCAGUUGAGCUCAGGAAGGUUAUGUCAUCUAUUGUCAAUGACCUAGCCAACAGCAUCUGGGAAGGGAGCAGCCAGGGGCAGACAAAACCCUCAGAAAAGUCCACGAGGGAAGAGAAGGAACGGUGGAUCCGUUCCAAAUAUGAGGAGAAGCUCUUUCUGGCCCCACUACCCUGCACUGAGCUGUCCCUGGGCCAGCAGCUGCUGCGGGCCACCGCUGAUGAGGACCUGCAGACAGCCAUCCUGCUGCUGGCACAUGGCUCCUGUGAGGAGGUGAACGAGACCUGUGGGGAGGGAGACGGCUGCACGGCGCUCCAUCUGGCCUGCCGCAAGGGGAAUGUGGUCCUGGCGCAGCUCCUGAUCUGGUACGGGGUGGACGUCAUGGCCCGAGAUGCCCACGGGAACACAGCGCUGACCUACGCCCGGCAGGCCUCCAGCCAGGAGUGCAUCAACGUGCUUCUGCAGUACGGCUGCCCCGACGAGUGUGUGUAGUAUCUGUUUUAUUUGACUGCAGUCUCCUUGGUGCAAAAACAAAAUGGGAAAAAUAAGGAUAACUCAGAAUUUCAAAAGGAAAUCACAAAUUCAGCUAAUAUUAGCAUUUUCAGUACUUUUCGUAAACUAAGUAAAUACACAAAAUGUUGAUUUUUCUGACCAUAAGACGUAUUUUAUGUCCUUCUGCCAAGGUGGAUUUGUUAGUCUCAGGCCCUCCUGGCCACAUUGCCCAAGUCACACAGGCUUCUGUAUUAUGUAUUUAGAUAAAAUGUGUGAAAACAUAUUUGAAAUAAAGUUCAUAAAUAUGCAUUGAUUUUUGUACACAUGGCA
rnacentral:lncRNA from 1 species